rnacentral:rRNA from 1 species
CCUACGUGUGGCUGCAGUGGGGAAUAUUGGACAAUGGGCGAAAGCCUGAUCCAGCCAUGCCGCGUGUGUGAAGAAGGCCUUCGGGUUGUAAAGCACUUUCAGUGGGGAAGAAAGCCUUGGGGCUAAUACCCUCGAGGUAGGACAUCACCCACAGAAGAAGCACCGGCUAACUCCGUGCCAGCAGCCGCGGUAAUACGGAGGGUGCGAGCGUUAAUCGGAAUUACUGGGCGUAAAGCGCGCGUAGGCGGUCUGAUAAGCCGGUUGUGAAAGCCCCGGGCUCAACCUGGGAACGGCAUCCGGAACUGUCAGGCUAGAGUGCAGGAGAGGAAGGUAGAAUUCCCGGUGUAGCGGUGAAAUGCGUAGAGAUCGGGAGGAAUACCAGUGGCGAAGGCGGCCUUCUGGACUGACACUGACGCUGAGGUGCGAAAGCGUGGGUAGCAAACAGGAUUAGAUACCCGAGUAGUC